rnacentral:lncRNA from 1 species
AAACUCUGGAAAUAACAAUAUUUCUGUGAAAAAAACUCUGAGCUUGAGAUUUCUAUUAUGUAGCCAGCAAGAACAUCUAAAUAUUGAAAAUCUAGGAACAGGAUUUUACAUGCCCUGGAAAAGGCUUUCCCAUCCAUUCACUGAUAAAACAUCAGGUAUGGCUAAGCACCCAAGCAGCCAGAGAAAAUGAACCUUCCAGGGCUGUUAAUCUAUGCACUGCUAGCUUCAUUCACAGUCUAACUUUUUGUGACUGACAGAAUCGUCUAAACUUUCUUCCAUAGAGUACUAGUAAGUCUAUAUGUGUGUGAUACAGGAACAAAUUUUUACGUGCAGAAAAAAGGCUUUCUCACCCAUGGCCUUUAGAACACAAGCUGUAACUAAGCUUCUGAUUAGAGAAAGAUUACAGGGCCCGUAUUCACUGGACUACAUACAUCCCUCACUGAGCAUGACUUUCUUCAUUGUAAGAACAUUAUGUCUACAAUUUCUCUCCUAUAGGUGGUGACAACAGCUUCCAACACAGAAGACUUUGCAUGCAAAGUGAAAAAAUGUCCUUUGUAUUUCCUGUCAGAACACUGGGUAUAACAAAGCUUGAAGAAACCUGAGAAAAUAGUUAAAUUUUUUACUACAUGCAUGACUCUGAAUCUACCAACGUUUCUGUGAAAGAACUCUGAGCUUCAGAUUCCUACCGCGUAGUCAGUAAGAACAUCUGUAUGUUGGGAACAUGGGGAGAGGACUUGGAAAGUCUUUCUCAUCCAUUCAGUGUUAAACGUCUCGAUGUGACUCAGCAUCCAAGUGGCCUGAGGAACAGCACUUUGGCAGGUCUGUUCAACAGUUCCCCACGAGCCUCACACCUGGCAGGAAGUACCCGCAGUGAGUGAAGCUGGCAGUGAACGCUGCAUCAGACCCGCAGAACGAGUUUCCAAGGCCACCUGAAAGAUGAUUCACACCUUGGUUUUAAGAGGGAAGGACGCGGGAGCGCGCCCAGAGCGUGUGGACGCUGGGCGGGAGCCGGGAGCUCCUGGACCAGCUCCCGGAGGAGGAACGCGGCCUGGGGUCUGGGCCUCCGCUUGCUGUCGCUUCUGCUGCCGCUGCCGAGCAGGUAAGGGGGCGCUGGUGGGGGCGCGCAGGUCGGGGAGCCGGCGGGUGAGGCCUGGGCUGUGCAGCUGGGGAGGCGCACAGGGAGGGGUGCUUAGGUGAGGUCCAGGCCCCGUGUCCCCAUGCAGACCCUGAGGCAGGUCCCAGGCCACUGCUCUGGUUGGG